ensembl:lncRNA
CAACAACCAAUGAAAUCUGUAUAAUAAAAACUAAAGCAUCUAUUACCACACCUAUGACCAACAAACAAAAUACAUGCACAGCUGUGACUUUCACAACUACAUCUCCUACAACUACUGAUUCAACAUCAGUGGCAUCUUCAAGAACAACUGAGGCUUCUACAGAAAAUUCACCUUCAACAACAGCUACAGGUCAAAAAGCAGUGUCAUCUAUGAUGACAACAGAAACGGAAGCUUCCACAACCAUAGAUGUGACCACCAAAAUCAUGCCUGUGUUCUCAGCAACUACAGAUGGUGCUGCACCAACAACAACACCCUCUUCAAUAACAAUGUAUGAAGAUUCUACAACUACAGCUGUAACCCCCACAACCACACUCAUAUCCUCACAAACUACAACUGCAUCUUCAACAGCAACAAAUCUUGCUCCUACUGCAACAGCACAAUAUUCUGAAGCUUCAAAAACAACAGCAGCUGUGAACCCCACAACCAUGCCUGUAUUCUCUGCCCCUCCAUCAACAGAAAAUGUUGCUCCAACAACUCCACUGUCUUCGACAACUGAAGCUUCUGCUAGCACAGCUGUGAACCCCACAACCACUCUGAUAUCCUCAGCAACUUCACCUACAACAACAACAAAUGGUGCUGCAACAACACAAUUUUCAACCACUGAAGGUUAUACAACUACAGCUGUAAGCCCCACAACCACUCUUAUAUUCUCACCAACUACAACUGAACUCUCAACAGCAACAAAUGCUGCUCCAACUGCAACAGCACAAUCUUCAACAACUGAAGCUUAUACAACCACAGCUGGGAACCCCACAACCAUGCCUGUAUUCUCUGCACCUCCAUCAACAGAAAAUGUUGCUCCAACAAUAACUCCACUGUCUUCGACAACUGAAGCUUCUGCUAGCACAGCUGUGAACCCCACAACCACUCUGAUAUCUUCAGCAACUUCACCUACAACAACAACAAAUGGUGCUGCAACAACACAAUUUUCAACCACUGAAGGUUAUACAACUACAGCUGUAAGCCCCACAACCACUCUUAUAUUCUCACCGACUACAACUGAACUCUCAACAGCAACAAAUGCUGCUCCAACUGCAACAGCACAAUCUUCAACAACUGAAGCUUAUACAACCACAGCUGGGAACCCCACAACCAUGCCUGUAUUCUCUGCACCUCCAUCAACAGAAAAUGUUGCUCCAACAAUAACUCCACUGUCUUCGACAACUGAAGCUUCUGCUAGCACAGCUGUGAACCCCACAACCACUCUGAAAUCCUCAGCAACUUCACCUACAACAGCAACAAAUGCUGCUGCAACACAAUUUUCAACUUCUGAAGGUUAUACAGAUACAGCUGUAAGCCCCACAACCACUCUUAUAUUCUCACCGACUACAACUGAACUCUCAACAGCAAAAAAUGCUGCUCCAACUGCAACAGCACAAUCUUCAACAACUGAAGCUUAUACAACCACAGCUGGGAACCCCACAACCAUCCCUGUAUUCUCUGCACCUCCAUCAACAGAAAAUUUUGCUCCAACAAUAACUCCACUGUCUUCAACAACUGAAGCUUCUACUACCCAAGCUGUGAACCCCACAACCACUCUUAUAUCCUCAGCAACUGCUCCUACAACAACAUCAAAUGCUGCUCCAACAUCAUCUUCAACCACUGAAGGUUAUACAACCACAGCUGUGAGCCCCACAACCACUCAGAUAUCAGCAGAAACUACAACAACAGCAAAAGCUGCUCCAGCAACACAAUUGUCAACAACAAAUGAAACUUUAACAACCAAAACAGUGAACCCCACAACCAUGCCUAUGUUCCCAUCACCUACAACUGCACCUCCGGGAACAGAAAAUGCUACUCUAGGAACAACAACACAGUCGUCAACAAAUGAAGUUUCUACAACCACAGCUGUGAAUCCAACAACUAUGCCUGUAUUUCCAGAACCCCCAACAAAUGCUGCAUCACCAACAACAGCAGUAACUUUAACAACUGACACUUCUACAGUAACAGCUUUGAACCCCACAUCCACAACUUUCUCCUCAGGAAAUACAAGUCCACCUUUAACAACAACAAG